GAUGACAACAUCUUUCCUUUUGUCAGGUGGAAACAGGUCCAGUUCCUUCUGUAUGUGGUCAGUAAAGCACUGGUCAGAAAGAAAGAGCAAAGACUUGGAUCAGGAGUCGCUGGAAGGGAACCGCACACAGCGCAGGCAGUGCCACUCUCCUGCUCAGCACACCACAAAAAUUGCAGAACCCAAGCCAAAAGAGAAGCUCUCUCCAGAGACAAAAAUGCUGUUUUCUCAGGAAAGGAAGGAGCAAGAAGGUUCCCUGUAACUGCCCCUGCACAGCCAUUGCUGUGGCUACAGCCACCUCUUCACUGCCAGUGAGCUCUGAUCUGUCAAAAGAGACGUGAUCUGUGUGUGGUGACCACAGACCUACUCUGAGCAGGAAUUUGGGCUAAUGACCUUUAGAGGUCCCUUCCAGCACAAACUGCUUUAACAACAUGACUACACUCCUAGAACAAGGUGUACAUGGUGGUCACAUUCACACCUUAUCAUGCCAGAACAUCUGUUGUGAAAUAACCAGCCUUCUCCUCAACUGCAUAUACAGCAGACAAGACAUAUUUCAUUACUGUAACCAAAACGUACCCUUACACUGAAAUGAUCCUUUUAUUCUUUUUUUUUUCUUUUUUCUUUUUUAGGCAACAGGAAAAAUAUAUAAACACAGUCUAAAUCAGCAAAUAGGUUCAUCUUCUUCUGGGAUAUUUUAUAGCUAAAAAGCUCAUAAGCUUUGUUGCAAGCUAUGACUAGCAGUCAGUGAGCUUUACUUACUACUGCGACUUGUAGUAAGUAAAGGGAUUCCUCAGAACAUUCCUCUUGCUUAACGUUAUGCAUUGCUUUCACUGGUAGCAAACAUUUCCGAAAAGGAAAUGGAAUAAACAUUUUUAUUUACUUA